AGUAGUUUGAUCCUGGCUCAGAACGAACGCUGGUGGCGUGUCUUAUACAUGCAAGUCGAGGCGGUGCAGCAAUGCAUAGCGGCGGAACGGGUGAGUAACGCGUAAGCAAUCUCGCCCCCUCGGCCCGGGAAUAGCCGUGCCAACGCGGCGGGUAAUACCGGAUAUCGUGGCGCUCCUCAGUGGGGCGUUGAACAAAAGUAUUUAUCGGCGAGGGGAUGAGCUUGCGUCCGAUUAGCUAGUUGGCGGGGCAACGGCCCACCAAGGCGACGAUCGGUAGCCGGCCUGAGAGGGUGAUCGGCCACAUUGGGACUGAGAUACGGCCCAGACUCC
rnacentral:rRNA from 1 species